rnacentral:rRNA from 1 species
AGUGAACGCUGGCGGUAGGCCUAACACAUGCAAGUCGAACGGCAGCACAGGAGAGCUUGCUCUCUGGGUGGCGAGUGGCGGACGGUUGAGGAAUACAUCGGAAUCUACUCUGUCGUGGGGGAUAACGUAGGGAAACUUACGCUAAUACCGCAUACGACCUACGGGUGAAAGCAGGGGACCUUCGGGCCUUGCGCGAUUGAAUGAGCCGAUGUCGGAUUAGCUAGUUGGCGGGGUAAAGGCCCACCAAGGCGACGAUCCGUAGCUGGUCUGAGAGGAUGAUCAGCCACACUGGAACUGAGGCACGGUCCAGACUCCUACGGGAGGCAGCAGUGGGGAAUAUUGGACAAUGGGCGCAAGCCUGAUCCAGCCAUACUGCGUGGGUGAAGAAGGCCUUCGGGUUGUAAAGCCCUUUUGUUGGGAAAGAAAUCCAGCUGGCUAAUACCCGGUUGGGAUGACGGUACCCAAAGAAUAAGCACCGGCUAACUUCGUGCCAGCAGCCGCAGUAA